rnacentral:rRNA from 1 species
AGAAACUCAAAGGAAUUGGACGGGGCCCGCACAAGCGGAGGAGCAUGUGGUUUAAUUCGAUGAUACGCGAGGAACCUUACCUGGGCUCAAAUGUAUGUUGACGUAUUCUGAAAGGGAUACUUCUUCGGACAAUAUACAAGGUGCUGCAUGGUUGUCGUCAGCUCGUGCCGUGAGGUGUCGGGUUAAGUCCCAUAACGAGCGCAACCCCUAUCAUUAGUUGCCAUCAGGUCAAGCUGGGGACUCUAAUGAAACUGCCUACGCAAGUAGUGAGGAAGGUGGGGAUGACGUCAAAUCAGCACGGCCCUUACGUCCAGGGCGACACACGUGCUACAAUGGCCGGCACAACGGGAAGCGAGUUCGCGAGGACGAGCGGAUCCCUCAAAGCCGGUCGCAGUUCGGAUUGAAGUCUGCAACUCGACUUCAUGAAGCUGGAAUCGCUAGUAAUCGUGGAUCAGCCAAGCCGCGGUGAAUACGUUCCCGGGCCUU